GACGAACGCUGGCGGCGUGCUUAACACAUGCAAGUCGAACGAAGUGGCGAACGGGUGAGUAACGCGUAAUCAACCUGCCCUUCAGAGGGGGACAACAGUUGGAAACGACUGCUAAUACCGCAUACUGAAGGAGGGCAUUGCGUCUGAUUAGCUAGUUGGAGGGGUAACGACCCACCAAGGCGAUGAUCAGUAGCCGGUCUGAGAGGAUGAACGGCACCAUGGGGACUGAGACAGGGCCCAGACUCCUACGGGAGGCAGCAGUGGGGAAUCUUCCGCAAUGGACGAAAGUCUGACGGAGCAACGCCGCGUGAGUGAAGAAGGUUUUCGGAUCGUAAAACUCGUUUGUUAGAGAAGCGGUAUCUAACCAGAAAGCCACGGCUAACUACGUGCCAGCAGCCGCGGUAAUAC
rnacentral:rRNA from 1 species